AAGGAGCACAUCUCGGGGCAGUACCACCCACACAGGUGGGAGGGAACCCCCGCAGAGACCACGCCGACCACAUUCGUUGGUCGGGUGGACGCUCAUGGGUGGAACACUGACAACCAGAGCCGGCAACAACGGUCACGCUCAGUCGCGACCAGCCGGCACUAUAUCGAUGCACUGUUGGGUCCUGAGAGAACACGCGAGUGUUACCUCUCUGGCAAGAAACGUAUACAGCGCCCGGAUGUGUCAUACCGCGGCUGGUGUUCCUCCCCUUGUCGGGGUGGGGGUGCCGGUGGGUCUGGUGUCACGGUGAGUUCGGGUGGUGUGCGUUGUUUGAGAACUGCACAGUGGACGCGAGCAUCUUUGUU
rnacentral:misc_RNA from 1 species